CGACCUAAUACUUCAAGGAAAACCACACGAUCAUUGUCGGUUUGAUCCGACGGCCCAGAUUCACUUGAAGGGACUAUAAAACCAGACCCCCUGGCCCCUGGAGAUCAUACCUCUUCUACAGAAUAAAAGCUAGGGUUUCAAUUCUUCAUCCAAGUAGAGAGGAUCCCUCUAGUUCUUCUAGUUCUACCUCUAGUUCAUCUAGAUCUAGUUCUAGUUCAUCUAGUUCUAGUUCUAGUUCCUCUAGUUCUAGUUCUAGUUAGUUCUAGUUGUAAUCUAGAAAAUAGGGAGAGAGAAGAGGAGAGCGGAGGAGGAGCCGGAUCUGUCGGAUCUUCCUCAACAUUGUACCUUUGCAGCAUCUGGUUCGUUCUUCAUCGUUCUCCAGGUUCUUCAAUUCAUAAUCCUGAGUUCUCUAAUUACUUUUAUUUACAUUCAAGUUAUUUAUUGGAUUCCCGCUUGCAUCAAGUGCUCUAGUCUUUAUAACAUUAGAGUAGUAAUUAAUAGAUUAGACGUGGUGUUUAGUCUUCCAAUUACCUGGAAUUGCACCCAAUCCUGCGGAUUGUUGUGGUAGCCUUAGGGUAGUGACAGCCCUAACGGUCGACGUAUUCCACCUCGUUUGGAUCGGUGUUUGUAGGACCGUAGUCGGAGCUUCCUAGCCCCCUUCUCAUCUCUUUCUGUGGUUAGUGUUCUGAUGUCCCGAAAUAGAUAAUCUUGAAGUAACUCUCAGGAAACUUCCUCUCUUCCCACAAAAAUAUUCAUGUAGUUAUCCUUGGGCGAUCUUGGAUCUUAAUUAGUACACUCACGUUCUCUGUGGAAAAUCGAUACUCUGGAAUACUCCCGGGUGAAGGCUACAUCGGUAUCCGUGCGCUUGCGGAUUUUUUCUGUUUGCGUUUAAAAUACCCAACAAGCUUUCUGGCGUCGUUGCCGGGGAACGGUAGCUGUGCUAGUUUCGAACCAAGUCGUCCGUGUAUCCUUUUUCUUUUCCUUUUUUAUCACACUCACCUUACUAUUUUCACCAUACCACAUGUAUUUCACUCUAAGCAUUAAUGAGCAUGGAAUUUAUUUCAUAGCCACUUCAUUUACUCCAUGCUCAUAUGCAACAUCUUCACAAUCCAUUAGUCUCUCCAACAUCACCACAUUCGAGAUCUCCAACCCCCUCUUACUUUCUAUUCAUAAAAACUUUAAAAGGGCGGUUGUCGAUGCAUAUGUCUAUAUUAAAUAUUGCAGAUCUCGUUGAGUUGAUCUUGAUAUAGGUCAGCGUUGGAGGGGAAACCACUCGCCGACAUAAAUUGAUGGUUUCCCAAGGACAAGCUUAGUGUCCUAAAAUAAGCACUGAUCAGAUCGUAACAUAAGCUUUUAAUUAUUUGCAACACUACCUUGUGUAUUGAGCAUAUAAGGAUAAUUGUAAAAAUAUUCCUUCGGGUAUUCUUGUCACUAACCUUUGCAGGAUUGAAGCAAGAAGAUCGGAUGAAUGACAAGCACAAGGUAUGUCCAACCAAUCAUCAUACAACAUUGAAUUAAAUUCAUCCAAACUUGAAUUUUGCAAAAUUCUAGCUUGGGGGAGUACUUUACAUAAAAACAUCCUUUGCCAUGUUGCUAUGUUGGUUGUCCCUACCUUUGAGACAUGCUCAAUUUGUUAAAUACUAAUCACACUACUUCAUCUCCACUUGAGUAGAUCUCUAUAAAUGCUCUCAUGCUACCUUUAUUUGCUUUAGUAUAUGUCUAGGUUUGGAGUAGUUUCAUAUAUCUCUCAAUUAAGCAUGGUGCUUAGCUAGGAAUGAUGAUCUUACUUCCAAGGGAUUUUAAAUUAAGCAUGGUGCUUAGGUUAAAAUGCCCUCCUGAAUCAAAUUAGACAUGGUGUCUAGGUUGAUUUUUGAGCUGAUAGUAUGCUAUAGUAGAUAUGGGAUAUUUUGUUGGAUUAACCCCUGCAGGAAAACUUUCAAUAUCGACCUGGGAAGUCCUGAGAUAAACUCACAUUGGAGACAAAGAGAGAGACACAUAAAGUUUAACAAUUUACACAAGGAAGGCAUAUCUCACAAGAGAUGAUUCAUGGAGGGUGCCAGAAACACGAUGCACAACCGCUAAGAAAGGAAAGCUUCCACAAGGUGAUACUGUACCAUCACUCUUCAAGUAAGGUAACAUCUUAAGGUACUUGACUAUCACUUCUAUAAGCUUUUCCUUGGUUCUGGCAUUCACAUGAAUAAAAGAGACAAACAUGUAUGAUUUACAACUUUAGAUUAAUCAACCCAAUCGAUUCAACAUGUUUAGUCUUUCUACCUUCGUGAUCCCACACUCCUAAUCAUAUAAGCUAAAACAUUGCACAUUCAAUCUUUGGAAGAUAUAAACAAAACAUAAGUAUACAUAGAUUAUCUUUCCAUUAGGUUGAGCGAUGUGAUCUGACAAAUGUUUUAAAUAUUACACUCAUGAUCUUAUUAUCCAUCAACUUGGUCUAUGCUUAAGGAUAGAGAAGAAUAAAUACACUUUUGGUUCUGUUAGUGUUUUCCACCAACAGGGCCCAUGCACUUGAUCUCUGCCUUGUCUCUAUGAGCAGGUACACUUUAAGCAAAACAUGGAAGAGUUUUACAACUCCCAGACUCCACCAAGUGAAGAACCUAGAUCUACGAGCACAAACACGCUGGAGAGACUGGACACUAAGGCAAUCACUGCCCUAAGAUGCUUGAGGACGUAACUACUGGAGUAACCCAUGGAAGUAAUUACUGACCUUCUGCCGGUCAAGAGAGACAAUCCAGGACGCCCCGUCAUCCCGAUCUCCAUCAGGCAUGGUGGACUUCCUAGAAGCACUCUGCGACUUUGGCUCCAGCAUCAACAUUAUGCCCAGGAUACUCUAUGAAAAAUUCAUUACACAUCCUUUACUAGAAACAACCAUGUGUUUGCAGCUUGCAGAUCAGACACUAAGUUUCCCAAAGGGAAUAUUGAAGAACCUCUGCGUCCGAGUUGGUACCUUGUACGCCCCAGCAGACUUCGUGGUGAUAGAGACUAGUACUGAUGAGAGGGCACCCAUCCUAGGGAGGCCAUUCCUGAACACCUUAGGAGCUGUCAUCUACGCUAGUGCUGCCAAGAUCAAUUUCUACAUCAAGGAGAGGAAGGAGACGUUUUCCUUCAAGAACAAGACUACACAAAUCUCAGAGCAAUCCCGACAUGAACCAAGGAAGAGGAUCAACAGGGGGAGCAGGAACAAGCAAAUGUGGACUGAGUCAGCUAAGAUGGUCACUGCAGCUCAACGAGGUCAAGAUCGUCGACUUAAGUCACCGUUCCUGACCAAAAAGGAUGCCGCAAUCACUUAACAGCUCCUGCAUGGAACCAUGUCCCUACAACCAACACACAUUUAGCUCCAGAUGAUUUUAAGGUUAUUGACAUGGGAGAAGACAAGUACGAUCCAUCCAUCAUCCUUAGGAGACCGUUCCUCAGCACCGCUAAAGCAAUCAUCUACAUUGGAAUCGGAGAAGUCCACAUGCACUUCCCCUCUGAGAAGGUACGCUGCUAUUUUACUGACCCUAACUAUAUAGUUGAAGACUCUAAGCAGGUCAGGGCAAGAAGAAUACGACGCAACCGCAACUAGAGGAGGCAAAUCAUCAAGGACGGAUGGGCAGACUAUGAAGGAGAAGUCGUAAGGUCUGAAGACAUACAGCUUGAACAGAACUGUCCUGAGGAGACCGUAGCACCGAGUCAGGUGUGCAGAAAGAAGAUAGUUAUACACGAAGAGCAGGCGCCGUCGGAACCACCGACUACGCCAUCCAGCGAAUCCCAAGAUGAUUGAGAAAACAAAGAAUCCCGUUCGGAGGACUUAAAAACACCGAACGUCUUGCCAAGAGGUAAACUUGGUAGUUAUCCUUUUCUUUUCAAUUAUCUUAAAAUAGUUUGCUUAGUUAAUCAGGUUCAUAUCAUCUCGAAAAGAAAAUAAAAAUGUUAAAAAUAGUAAGCCCCAUGUGAGUAUGCUCAUGGCAUAAAACCCAUAAGUACAUUCACUGUGGUGGCAUAAAAAUGAAAUAAAUAUAUUCCUGUCCUAUAAAAAUAAAAUUAUAAAAAUAGAUUUAUGAUCCCACUAAAAAGUGUAAUAUUUAUUGAGGAGACUCAACAUGAUAAAGGCUAGAUAUUUAUGCUAACACUUAACUAGUUCCACAAGCUUUGUUGUCUAUUUGAGCUCCACAGAAUUCAAGGAUCAAAGAAGACUAGCAGACGGAGGACAUCCUAGUCACCAUCAGGGUGCUGCUGACAUUCAAAUAUACCUUCGCCACCUGCUAGCUACAUCAGAAGGAAUUACGUCAAAAUCCAGCUUGGGGGAGAGCACCUCCAUUUAUCCAGCUAAGUAUUCUACUCACGUUUAUAUUUUACUCAAAUAAUAAAAAGAUGCAUAAUCGUAAAAAACCUAAAUAAAGAUUUUGUGCUUAUAUAUAUAUCUUUGCUUAGUUUGCUAAAUAAAUAAAUAAAUAAAAUUUGCUAUGAACCCUCAUGAUAAGCUCUCACAUGGAAAUGAUGAAUAGUUGCUCUACCAUAAUUAGUUCUCAAAAUUGAAAUCUCUCUCAAGUUUAGGCAUGACUGUUAUUAAUUAAGAUUUGCUCUAAACCUGAACUUGUGGGAAGAGUACUUGAUCUGAAGUCUAAGUCGUUAACGGAUAUGAUAUGGGAAGGUUGAGCUGCUGUUUAUCUGUUCCUAGAGAUGCUAGAAUUCUGGAGAAUUUUAUCUUUGAAAAUCUUUAAAAUGUUGCAUGAUGAGUUCCUGUAUGAUGAGAGUUUAAAAUCCUACCACAGCCAUAUAUACAUGCUUGCUAGACUUUGAGCCACACAUUUACUUUUUACUGCUUAUGAGCAUUGAGUGUGGUCAAGCUGUGUAGACCCUUAGGAACUUGUCAUGUGGUUAAAAUCAAGAUUCACUUGCACGUUCACUCAUAUAUGCUGCUUCCACUCCGGAAGUACCAUCCACAUAUAUCCACCCAUUUCCAUCUCCAGAACCACCCAAAAACAUUCUACUCAUAAUCCGAGAGAGAAUAGCCAAACAACAUUCUCCUAUUUCUGUUUUUCCCUGUGAAAUAAAUGCUCAGGUUAUCUUGUUACUACCACUUGCUAUAUUAUUUCAAGAGAUGAAUGCUCUAAAAAAAAGAGAAAAAAAAGAGAAAGAAUACGAGGAAAUAAAAAGGGGCAAGUGCCCGGAACCUCGAAAGAAAAGAAAAAGUGAGACGAGAGGUAAAAAUGGACAAGUGUCCGACAGUAGAAUUAGGGGUACAAGAUACCCACCUGAGGGAAAAGAAUAAAAAAGAGAAAAUAUAGAGCAUCUCAUUCUCCUCAAAAAGUUUCAAAAGAGCAAGAAAGGUAUGUAUCCCCUCAAAAGAGCAUAAGUAGAAUUAGACUUUCAGUAUUAUCACCAUCAUCACCAUACACCAUUCAUUCACCACACAUGCACAUCUUGAUUUGACUUAUUGACUUGUUCUUCUGGAUCCAUGGUUUGACUAUGCAAUAAAUGUUUUGUAAGUAUGUAUUAGCUGUCUCCCACCUAUGAGCUCCAGAUAUCAAAACCUUAUUAGAGUAGGGUGAGAGAGAAGGCAAUACCACUAUGCCUUAUACCAAAAAUACCACAUACUUUGAGAGAAGGCAUAUACCAUUACUGCCUUGGUAAGGAUCCAGAAAUACCACAAAAGAGAGACUAGAGAGAGUCAUACAAGGAAUCUCUGAGUUUUAUUUGAAAAUCUGCAAAAACUCCAGAGCUAUAGUUAAUCGAAGAACAAGAGACAUGGUGCUUGACUAGACUGUUCUAUCUUUUAACUACUCAAGACAGAAGUGAUGGUUACAAGUCCCAUGGUGAAAGGUAAAUGAGUAAGUUUUAAGUCUUAACAGUUUACUCUAACCAGAGAUGAGAUCUUGUUUAAACGCAUGUGUAUCUUUAAGUUAUGAAACCACUGCAGAAACUCUUGAGUUCAUCUUUGCUCAGGGACGAGCAAAGGUUAAGCUUGGGGGAGCUUGUUGACGGUCCUUAAUGCUCAUAUUUAACCAUCAAUUAAUCAUGGAAAAGGAUCCAAAUGCAACCAACACCUAGACUUAGGGUUUUAUCUGACAGAAUUCCACGAGUUUUGGUGUUUGUCUAUUUCUGCAGGGGGUUAUCAGGAAAUACGGAAGAAAGGCCCACACGUCGGGUUUACAUAGAGAUAUUAACGUGCCGCACAAUUUUCUAUCAUCUAGAAGACUCCAGAAGCCACGGGACCGAACGGGAGACGUAACGGAGCCGGGCACUGGGCGCCCUCCCUCCCUUACUGGGCGCCCGCCCUCCCCCCUGGACCAAUCAGGGUGAAGUUCGGGGAUCAUGCUCCACCGACCUAAUACUUCAAGGAAAACCACACGAUCAAUGUCGGUUUGAUCCGACGGCCCAGAUUCACUUGAAGGGACUAUAAAACUAGACCCCCCUGGCCCCUGGAGAUCAUACCUCUUCUACAGAAUCAAAGCUAGGGUUUCAAUUCUUCAUUCAAGUAGAGAGGAUCCCUCUAGUUCUUCUAGUUCUACCUGUAGUUCAUCUAGAUCUAGUUCUAGUUCAUCUAGUUCUAGUUCUAGUUCCUCUAGUUCUAGUUCUAGUUAGUUCUAGUUGUAAUCUAAAAAAUAGGGAGAGAGAAGAGGAGAGCGGAGGAGGAGCCGGAUCUGUCGGAUCUUCCUCAACAUUGUACCUUUGCAGCAUCUGGUUCGUUCUUCAUCGUUCUCCAGGUUCUUCAAUUCAUAAUCCUGAGUUCUCUAAUUACUUUUAUUUACAUUCAAGUUAUUUAUUGGAUUCCCGC
rnacentral:lncRNA from 1 species